GUACUUUCUAUGCAGCAUAUAUACAAAAAUUAGAAUGAUACAAAGAUUAGCAUGGCCCCUGCUCAAGGAUGACACGUAAGUCUAUGAAGGAUUUCGUAUUUUU
ensembl:snRNA U6 U6 spliceosomal RNA